GAUGAAGAACGUAGCGAAAUGCGAUAAGUAAUGUGAAUUGCAGAAUUCAGUGAAUCAUCGAAUCUUUGAACGCACCUUGCGCCCUUUGGCUAUUCUGAAGGGCAUGCCUGUUUGAGUAUCAUGAACACCUCAACUCUCAUGGUUCGCCAUGAUGAGCUUGGACUUUGGGGGUCUUGCUGGCCUACGGUCGGCUCCUCUCAAAUGAAUCAGCUUGCCAGUGUUUGGUAGAGUCGCAGGUGUGAUAACUAUCUACGCUUGUGGUUUUCUGCCAGAUAACCUUCAGUGAUGGAGGUUCGCUGGAGCUUAUAAAUGUCUCUCCCCAGUGAGGACAGCUUUUUGAACGUUUGAUCUCAAAUCAGGUAGGAAUACCCGCUGAACUUAAGCAUAUCAAUAAGCGGAGGA
rnacentral:misc_RNA from 1 species